CCCCGAGUAACGGCGAGUGAAUCGGGAACAGUCCAGCGCUGAAUCUGCACGUUCUUGAAGCGUGCCGAGUUGUGGCGUAAGGAAGUCUCUGUGCGGUCGUCGGCGAGCGUCGCUGUCCUUCUGAUCGAGGCCUCAUCCCGGUGCGGGUGUCAGGCCCAUAAGGGCGCUUGCCGCGGCCGCUUCGAGUCUUCCCGGAGUCGGGUUGUUUGAGAAUGCAGCCUAAAGCGGGUGGUAAACUCCACCUAAGACUAAAUACGGUCGCGAGACCGAUAGCGAACAAGUACCGUGAGGGAAAGUUGAAAAGCACUUUGGAGAGAGAGUUCAAAAGUACGUGAAACCGUCAAGAGGCAAACGGGAGAGCCCGUCCGGGCUCGGGUACGCUUUCAGUUGGGCGCGGAAGCGCGCUGCAGGCAGUUGUGCGGACGCUCGCGCGCCGUCUCUGUCGUAGCACGCACGCCGCUCCAGCGCACUAGCGUCCCGAGCAGGCCACGACCGGUUCGAAGUCGGCCAGAAGCGCCGCGCGAAGGUGACCCACGCUUCGGCGGGGGUGUUACAGCGCGCGUGCGUCGAGGCCCGGCUACGGAUCGAGGUUACGAGUCCGUGCGCGCCUUCCUUCGGGGAGGGUUGGCUGCGAGCGUCAGCCGGCAGGUCGCGUCGCGCGUCGAGUACCGUCCGCGGUGCUCGCGCGGGGCCGGCCGUCGGCAGGGCGACCCGUCAGU
rnacentral:rRNA from 1 species